UACGUAGGGGGCAAGCGUUGUCCGGAAUUAUUGGGCGUAAAGAGCGUGUAGGCGGUCCGGUAAGUCAGCUGUGAAAGUCAAGGGCUCAACCCCUUGAAAGCCGGUUGAUACUGUCGGGCUAGAGUCCGGAAGAGGCGAGUGGAAUUCCCGGUGUAGCGGUGAAAUGCGCAGAUAUCGGGAGGAACACCAAUGGCGAAGGCAGCUCGCUGGGACGGUACUGACGCUGAGACGCGAAAGCGUGGGGAGCA
rnacentral:rRNA from 1 species